CCUACGGGUGGCAGCAGUGGGGAAUAUUGGGCAAUGGGCGCAAGCCUGACCCAGCAACGCCGCGUGAAGGAAGAAGGCUUUCGGGUUGUAAACUUCUUUUCUCAGGGACGAAGCAAGUGACGGUACCUGACUAAUAAGCCCCGGCUAACUACGUGCCAGCAGCCGCGGUAAUACGUAGGUGGCAAGCGUUAUCCGGAUUUACUGGGUGUAAAGGGAGCGUAGACGGCAGGGCAAGUCUGUAGUGAAAGCCCGGGGCCCAACCCCGGAACUGCUUUUGAAACUGCCAGGCUAGAGUGCUGGAGAGGUAAGCGGAAUUCCUAGUGUAGCGGUGAAAUGCGUAGAUAUUAGGAGGAACACCAGUGGCGAAGGCGGCUUACUGGACUGUAACUGACGUUGAGGCUCGAAAGCGUGGGGAGCAAACAGGAUUAGAUACCCCGGUAGUC
rnacentral:rRNA from 1 species